rnacentral:rRNA from 1 species
GACGACGCUGGCGGCGUGCUUAACACAUGCAAGUCGAACGGAGUUACGUAUGAAGUAUUUCGGUACGGACUAUGUAACUUAGUGGCGAACGGGUGAGUAACACGUGGGCAACCUGCCCUUAACCGGGGGAUAACAUUGUGAAAACAGUGCUAAUACCGCAUAACAGAGUAUCGGGCAUCCGAUAUUUUUAAAAGGAGCAAUCCGGUUUAGGAUGGGCCCGCGUCCAAUUAGCUAGUUGGUGAGGUAACGGCUCACCAAGGCUACGAUUGGUAGCCGAACUGAGAGGUUGAUCGGCCACAUUGGGACUGAGACACGGCCCAGACUCCUACGGGAGGCAGCAGUGGGGAAUAUUGGGCAAUGGGCGAAAGCCUGACCCAGCGACGCCGCGUGAAGGAUGAAGGUCUUCGGAUUGUAAACUUCUUUGAUCAGGGAAGAAAGAAAUGACGGUACCUGAAGAACAAGCCACGGCUAACUACGUG